rnacentral:rRNA from 1 species
UACAGAGGGUGCAAGCGUUGCUCGGAAUCAUUGGGCGUAAAGGGUAGGUAGGUGGUCUCAUUUGUCUAGGGUGAAAUCCUUGAGCUUAACUCAAGAAGUGCCCUGGAAACGGUGAGACUGGAGUCCUGGAGAGGGUCGUGGAAUUCCCGGUGUAGCGGUGAAAUGCGUAGAGAUCGGGAGGAACACCAGAGGCGAAGGCGGCGACCUGGACAGGUACUGACACUGAACUACGAAAGCGUGGGGAGCAAACAGG